AUGCUCACUUCAGCAGCACAUAUACUAAAAUUGAAACAAUACAGUAAAGAUUAGCAUGGCCCCUGUGCAAGCAUGAUACACAAGUUCGUGAAGCAUUCCAUUUUUUU